rnacentral:rRNA from 1 species
AGUGAACGCUGGCGGUAGGCCUAACACAUGCAAGUCGAACGGCAGCACAGUAAGAGCUUGCUCUUACGGGUGGCGAGUGGCGGACGGGUGAGGAAUACAUCGGAAUCUACUUUUUCGUGGGGGAUAACGUAGGGAAACUUACGCUAAUACCGCAUACGACCUACGGGUGAAAGCAGGGGAUCUUCGGACCUUGCGCGAUUGAAUGAGCCGAUGUCGGAUUAGCUAGUUGGCGGGGUAAAGGCCCACCAAGGCGACGAUCCGUAGCUGGUCUGAGAGGAUGAUCAGCCACACUGGAACUGAGACACGGUCCAGACUCCUACGGGAGGAAGCAGUGGGGAAUAUUGGACAAUGGGCGCAAGCCUGAUCCAGCCAUACCGCGUGGGCGAAGAAGGCCUUCGGGUUGUAAAGCCCUUUUGUUGGGAAAGAAAAGCAGCAGGUUAAUACCCCGCUGUUCUGACGGUACCCAAAGAAUAAGCACCGGCUAACUUCGUG